CUCCUUUUUCGAUCCCCCCCACCCUUCGGGGGUGGGGGCCAUCAUCUAGACCUUUACCACGAUAUUUUCUUCUUUCUGGUGUACGUCUUCUUAGGCCGGUCCAUGCCUUAAUCUCAUUGCUGUGGAUUUGGUGUUUCAGGUACAUUGUCUUGGGCUAAGGUAGUAACGUCGUUUUCUGCUUCAUAAGCGGGUUUAAAUCUUUCUAUAGACACUGACUUCUCUUCACCAUUGACAUUAAAUAUGAACACUCUGCCAUUGACUCGUUCAAUCACUUGUUCGAGUGGUUUUUUAACUCCAUCAACUCUUAGGAACAUGUGAAUAGCUGUGUAGGUCUUUAAGUAUGAAUACUGGAGCUUUCGUAUGAUGGGCACUUGGAGUUGCUGUGAUGCUUCUUGUGUACUCUCUGAACUUCUCUACAAAAAUUUGUGGAUCAGCUGGCAUGUUCUGAUUUACGAAAAAUUCUUUAGGAAUACGCAGCGCUGUACCGUACAAUAAUUCUGUUGGUGAGGUUUUUGAAUCUUCUUUAACACACGUGCAAAAUCCCAGGAUCACAGUUGGUAGACGCCGAGUCUAGUGAACUUGUGGAUGACACAUGAGAGCUGCUUUUAGAGUUCGAUGCAUGCGCUCUACCAUUCCAUUUGAAGCUGGAUGGUAUGGAGUUUUUCUAAUGCAUAAAGCGCCAACUAAUCUUGCUAUUGAAGUGAAAAGGUCUGAGUACCUUGAUCAGAAGUGAUUGAUAAUGGUACCGUAGUGACAAAUUCAAUUAUCAAUAAGAGCAGUUGCUACUGUAUCUGCAGUCAUAUCCCUAAUAGGUAUGGCUUCUGGCCAACGAGAAAAUCUGUCUACAAUUGUGAGACAAUAUCUGUAUCCAUCAACUGUAGGUAAUUUAAUGAGCUCAAGUUGGAUAUGAUUGAACCCGGUGCUUGGUACUUGAAUAUGGUUGGGAUCUAAUCUAGUAUGUCGCUAAACGUCUUUAAAGCAUGCGAUACGACGAAUUAUGACCUUUUCAGAAGCCUAUCUGUAACCGUUUCUGAGCGGUGUUUCACCAAAAAACUCGAGGUAGCGACAGCCUCUAUGCGUGGAAUGAGAAUAAAAUGGAUGGUCUAAAACGUCUAAAACAUGCGAUACGACGAUUUAUGACCUUUUCAGAAGCCUAUCUCUAACCGAUUCUGAGCGGUGUUCCGCCAAAAGACUCUUGACACGACACGCAACCAUGUGACCAACCUAGAGCAUCUCGUUUCAUUUCAGGGCAGAUGUAUUUCAUUUUUAAUUGUUUGCUCGUUGCCCUGCCGCUUGGAUGAGAUAAACCGUGAAUUGUUUCAAAAACUGUUUUGCGAUGGUUCUUAGGAAUGAAUGGUCUAACAAAACUAGAAGAAAUAUUACGAUAAAUGAAGACAUUUUGUUCAGGAUCAACGUUGAGCCGUUGUAAUUUCGAUGAUGAGUUAGAAUUUUGUAAUAGGUUUUAAAGUUCUUUAUCGUCAGCUUGAGCUCGUUGAAUCUCUUGUGGACCAAGCACUGUUGGCAUGCUGAUUUGAUUUAUGAUUUGAUCUACCAUGUUAUCUUCACCUUUUACGUAUACGAUUUCUGUGCUGAACUGUGAUAUGAAUGACAACUGUCGAAGUUGACGAGGAAGUGCUGGAAAAACUUUAUGGUUGAAUGAACCGCUAGGAGUUCUCGAUCAUAAGUAGAGGAAAGUCACCAAAUAUGGAAUACCAUUUUGUUUUAGGGAUAUAAAAAAAAACUUCAUAGAAAUGAGAACAGUUUAAUGUUAUUACUAAAAUCAGUCAUACAUUUAUAUGUAGUAAUUAAUAGCCUUUAAUCAAAUAUAUUAGUUAUCAAAUUAAAAUCUAACACAAAAACCAAAGUCACAAAUGAGUAACCAAAUAUGGAAUAGGUACCCAUAUAUGGAAUAUAAGCAUAAAUCAUCGUAUCAAUAACAAAAAUGGACAUAAAUAUCUACGAAAUCAAAUAAAUGAAAAUAAAAUAUUGUGAUAAAUGAAAGAAGUUACUUAAUUUACUUGCAAAAGUAGUGAUCCAAGUAUCAAACUCUGGACCAGCACAAUCAUAAUGUGCCCAGAGCCCACACAUUAAGCAUUUAAUCCAGCUUUCUCCACUUUUAUCCAUUGAAAAAAGUCUUGAACAGAACAUACGUUCUGCAUCAACAGAGUCAGGAGAUAGUUGGUCCAUCAACUCAUCAUAUUCACUGCCUUCAUCAAACUGGAUAACGUUCUGUUCCUUAGAGUCUUCUUCUUUACAAUCAUCCUUAUUUUUCUUCGUUUGUUUGUUUCUCUUCGCACAGUGAACGCCAUCUGUAGCACAAUGCUACAUUUUGAAACGCACUGUUAAGA